rnacentral:rRNA from 1 species
UGCUAUGGCCAGGCCACCCUGAACGUGCUCGAUCUCAUCUGAUCUCGGAAGAUAAGCAGAGUCGAGCCUGGUUAGUACUUGGAUGAGAGACCACCUAGGAAGACCAGGUGCUGUAGGUG